UANAANAUGCAAGUCGAGCGAAUCUUGAGGUGCUCGCACUUCUUGGUUAGCGGCGGACGGGUGAGUAACAUGUGGGCAACCUGCCUGUAAGACUGGGAUAACUUCGGGAAACCGGAGCUAAUACCGGAUAAUCCUUUUCUUCUCAUGAGGAAAAGCUGAAAGUCGGUNUACGCUGACACUUACAGAUGGGCCCGCGGCGCAUUAGUUAGUUGGUGAGGUAACGGCUCACCAAGGCGACGAUGCGUAGCCGACCUGAGAGGGUGAUCGGCCACACUGGGACUGAGACACGGCCCAGACUCNUACGGGAGGCAGCAGUAGGGAAUCUUCCGCAAUGGACGAAAGUCUGACGGAGCAACGCCGCGUGAGCGAUGAAGGCCUUCGGGUCGUAAAGCUCUGUUGUUAGGGAAGAACAAGUAUCGGAGUAACUGCCGGUACCUUGACGGUACCUAACCAGAAAGCCACGGCUAACUACGUGCCAGCAGCCGCGGUAAUACGUAGGUGGCAAGCGUUGUCCGGAAUUAUUGGGCGUAAAGCGCGCGCAGGCGGUCCUUUAAGUCUGAUGUGAAAGCCCACGGCUCAACCGUGGAGGGUCAUUGGAAACUGGGGGACUUGAGUACAGAAGAGGAAAGCGGAAUUCCACGUGUAGCGGUGAAAUGCGUAGAGAUGUGGAGGAACACCAGUGGCGAAGGCGGCUUUCUGGUCUGUAACUGACNCNNAGGCGGGCAAGCGUGGGA
rnacentral:rRNA from 1 species